rnacentral:rRNA from 1 species
AGCAGCCGCGGUAAUUCCAGCUCCAAUAGCGUAUAUUAAAGUUGUUGCAGUUAAAAAGCUCGUAGUUGAAUUUCAGGCCUGGCUGGGCGGUCCGCCCUUCGGGUGAGUACUGCCUGUGGUCGGGUCCUACCUUCUGGCGAAGCGUCAUGGCCUUCACCGGCCGUGGCGGGGAACCAGGACUUUUACUGUGAAAAAAUUAGAGGGUUCAAAGCAGGCAAUCGCUUGGAUACAUUAGCAUGGAAUAAUGGAAUAGGACAGUGGUUCUAUUUGUUGGUUUU